GGGCGAGCGAGCAGGCUCUGCUAAGGGUGGAGGCUGCGGCCUGGACCCUAAAGUAAAGUUGUUAGGGCGGAGCUGUGGGCUGGGGAGGAGUUCAGUCCUUUGCUUUGGAUGGGGCCUGUGGGGUGGGAUGCAGGCAGGAGCCACACAGGAUGGAGCCUGUGCUAGGGCAGUCCGGCCUUCAGCUAGGGGCGGGACCAGAGCGAUGGGGUGGGGUCACCCUUCUGCUAAGUAUGAGGGACAGAGCUAAGGAGCUGGACCAGCGGGCUGAGGCGUGGUGUCCAGCCUUUUGCUACGGAUGGGGACAGUGCCAUGGGGACCUCACUAUGCAGACAAGGUCCCAGGUCAUCCUCAGAUCAGGGUGGCCUCAAACUCAGAGAGCUCCUCCUGCCUCCCUGUCCCGAGUGCUGGGGAAACCCAUGGUUCUGGGGAUCGGCCCCAGAGCUUUGUGCCUACCAGACAGCAUCCUACGCACUGAGCACACCCGGCGUCUACUUCUAAAGGGCUUUGGCCUGGGCCGUCUGCCCACAUCCUGUGUCCUCACAUCCUGUGCUGCUGAUUCGCCCGGUCCUCCCAGGGUGGCGGUGUUAACAGAUGCCCUCCUUUGGACCUGAGUGGUGGCUCAGCACAUAAGGGUGCUUGCCCUCAGGCUUGACACCCGAGUCGCAUCUCUUCCAUGUUGUCCUCUGAUCUCUACGUGUGGUUCAUGGCGUGCUUUGAAGAAAGAAAUGCAUGUUCA